AACGAAUCUGAAAAAACACUUGAGAAAAAAUCAGAAAGAAAAUCAGAAAAGAGGAAAUCCUUCGUUCCUUUGCACAUAACGGAGAGAGACGCAAUUGCAUUGUUGCUCGUGCGCACUCUAGGGGGGUCCGUUGGUUUUAGUCGUGAAGCAAGGCGUUGGUUUUGUAAUAUGUUUCACGAUUGCAAAAAUCUCGGGCAG
rnacentral:rRNA from 1 species